rnacentral:lncRNA from 1 species
UUGUUGAAUUUAUCGGAUUUGUUGAAAAUAAAAUUAUUAUCAAAUAAAUUUAUAAGAAUUAUAAAAGCGAAUUCAACGAAUUUUUCAAACGUAUAAAAUAAACAAUUAUAUAACUGCAAUAACGUUGAUACGUCUCACUACCCCCUCCCCUUUCCCAUGGCUACACCAUUGCUACAGAUGACAUAAAUGAUAUAAAAGAUUUAACUAGGAAAAAAAAAAAUUAGUAAAAUGGUAUUAUGUAUAAUAAUUUUCUUAAAUGUCUUAAUAUUUGAUGUGUCUACUAAAAUAGUGAUUGUGAUUUUGCGCGGUGGUAGUUACGUUUGUAGUCAUUCGUAGUUCGUUCGUUUAUUGUGAAGUAGAAAAGAAGCGUAAAUUAUAUGUCCUUUCCAUUUCGACAAAGUUCGUUUAAUAUAGUUAGGCAAAAAAGGUGACCGUAAAAAUUUGAAAUCGCUAAUGAAUUCAAUAUUCCACCAACUAUAUUGUCGUCAAUCAACAGAAAGAUAACAUUUUGAACUUCAACUGUGGAAAUAUGAAAAAAAUAAAAAUGACUCCUUAUUUGGACAUUGAUAAAUGUUUGUUAAAAUUCUUUACUCAGUGUCGAGAUAAAAACGUACUAAUAAAUGGAACAAUUUUACUUGAAAAAGCAAACGAAUAUGCACAAUAACUAGGACAUACUAAUUUUAAAGUUAGUAGUGUUUAGCUUACAAAUUGGAAAAAAAGACAAGAUGUAGUUUUUCGAAAAAUUUGUGGAGAAAAAACUUCGGUAGAUACACAUUGUUGUUCAAUUUGAAUUAAUUAUUUUCCUGACCACGAAUAGAUAACGAAAUUUCAUCAGAAACUAUCGAAUAUCCCUACGAGAGUGAAGACGAAACAUAAUAUGAGGAGGAAGUCACUUUUGAAGUUACAACUCAACAAGCUAAACGUGCUUUAAAAACGUAAGGAAUUUUAUUGAGACUACUACAGGUAUGGAAGAUAAGGCUUUUUUCUACAUUAUCUAAUUUGGAAGACGUCUUGGCAAACUGAGGUAUUAAUGAGUUUGCCCCGAAGCAAUGUGAAAAACAGUUCCGGGGCCGUCGUCGGUUGAUUUAAAAAAAAAAAAAAAAAAAGACCAGAUUUUUGUAAGUACCGCA